UAUUUGUUUUUUAAAGUAUUCAAAAGUAUUUAUGUUUAUUGCAUUUUGCUUGUGUAGUGUCCUCGGCAAAAGAAUGUCAUGGAUUCUGGAUAUUAUGUCAUGAGAUACAUGAAAGAGAUCAUCGUCCAUAAGCAAACUUGGAUAUUUGAAGAUUACUUUCAUGAUUGCAAUGUUUUGAAUUAUGAUCAAGGACAAAUUGAUGAAGUCACGGCUCAAUGGACGCGUCAUGUUCUUCUCGUGUGAAUAUUAUGGUGGAUUAAUUAUUUUUUUCGACUGGAAUUUCUCUAGAACGUUUUGAAAUUAAAAGAAGUACUAUAUGACAAGGAUACUUCUUUCUGUUUUCUAGUGGGUUUUUAUUCUACUGUGUAUUUAGGCACAUAUGAUUUUAAGUGAUGCAUGAGACAUCGAGACGUUUAUUUGA